rnacentral:rRNA from 1 species
AUUGAACGCUGGUGGCAUGCCUUACACAUGCAAGUCGAACGGCAGCACGGGUGCUUGCACCUGGUGGCGAGUGGCGAACGGGUGAGUAAUACAUCGGAACGUAUCUUAUCGUGGGGGAUAACGCAGCGAAAGCUGUGCUAAUACCGCAUACGCCCUGAGGGGGAAAGCGGGGGAUCGUAAGACCUCGCGCGAUUAGAGCGGCCGAUGCCUGAUUAGCUUGUUGGUGGGGUAAAAGCCCACCAAGGCGACGAUCAGUAGCUGGUCUGAGAGGACGAGCAGCCACGCUGGGACUGAGACACGGCCCAGACUCCUACGGGAGGCAGCAGUGGGGAAUUUUGGACAAUGGGGGCAACCCUGAUCCAGCAAUGCCGCGUGAGUGAAGAAGGCCUUCGGGUUGUAAAGCUCUUUUGUCAGGGAAGAAACACCGGCUCUAACACAGUCUGGGAAUGACGGUACCUGAAGAAUAAGCGCCGGCUAACUACGUGCCAGCCGCCGCGGUAA